rnacentral:pre_miRNA from 1 species
GCAAGAAGUUCGUGUCAAGUAAGCCAAGGAGCGACCGCCUAGUGAACCAAACAAGGCGUUACGUUCCAACAUCUUGAGGUGUGAUUAGGCAAGUCAUCCUUGGCUACCAAACAAGAACUCUUC